CAGCAGCCGCGGUAAUACAGAGGGUGCAAGCGUUAAUCGGAAUUACUGGGCGUAAAGCGCGCGUAGGUGGUUUGUUAAGUUGGAUGUGAAAUCCCUGAGCUUAACUUAGGAAUUGCAUUCGAUACUGGGAAGCUAGAGUAUGGGAGAGGAUGGUAGAAUUCCAGGUGUAGCGGUGAAAUGCGUAGAGAUCUGGAGGAAUACCGAUGGCGAAGGCAGCCAUCUGGCCUAAUACUGACGCUGAGGUACGAAAGCAUGGGGAGCAAACAGGAUUAGAUACCCCAGUAGUCCCUGUCUCUUAUAC
rnacentral:rRNA from 1 species